AGCGAACGCUGGCGGCAGGCCUAACACAUGCAAGUCGAACGGGCUCUUCGGAGCUAGUGGCGGACGGGUGAGUAACACGUGGGAACGUGCCUUUAGGUUCGGAAUAAGCCCGGGAAACUGGGACUAAUACCGGGUGUGCCCUUCGGGGGAAAGAUUUAUCGCCUUUAGAGCGGCCCGCGUCUGAUUAGCUAGUUGGUGAGGUAAAGGCUCACCAAGGCUACGAUCAGUAGCUGUUCUGAGAGGAUGACCAGCCACACUGGGCCUGAGACACGGCCCAAACUCCUACGGGAGGCAGCAGUGGGGAAUCUUGCGCAAUGGGCGAAAGCCUGACGCAGCCAUGCCGCGUGGAUGAUGAAGGUCUUAGGAUUGUGAAAUCCUUUCACCGGUGAAGAUAAUGACUGUAGCCGGAGAAGAAGCCCCGGCUAACUUCGUGCCAGCCGCCGCAGUAAGAC
rnacentral:rRNA from 1 species